rnacentral:lncRNA from 1 species
CACAAGUUCAUUUCACUAGUAUUAUUAACUUGAAUGGCUAUUGAUAGGGAUAAUCCUGAAACUUUUUUUUUUAUUCUUCUAGUUGAGGAUCUGUCUUCCUGAGGAUCAGCUCCAGAAUCAGCCUGUAGUUCUGGAGAGAACUCCUCCAAGGUCAGUUAUGAUUCAUUCUUUCAGCACUUUACAGCACUACACGGGGAUCUUUUGAAAAAAGAAAAAAAAACAUAUUUUAGCUGUUAUAAACUGUAUUACAUUACAUCACAGGCUAAAAGAUUCACACAACUCAUCUGAAAUCCAAGACCAACCACAGUCCUCCCAGAGCCCGCGGCAUUCUCCCGGACGCCAGAUGAGAGCAGAAAAGGUCAAGCGCAAUCUGACUGCUUCAGGUGAUGGUAGUGAAGACUCGACAGCAGGUCCUGGUGUUAAAGGGGAUCAGGGGUAUGCUAAAUUAUCUUCCCAAGAUCAGGGUGUAUGGGAUUUUCUUUCAGUAGUCCUCUUAUUACAAAUCUUCAUCAGUUUGCCUUCUAAUGUGUCAGGGAGAAGCUCAUUCCAGAGAGCACAACUAAGGAGGCGAUUUCACAAAGCUUGUUCAAAUGUUCUCCUGGGCAGCGGACAACAGCGGAAGAGAACGAGCACAAUCUGACCACUUCAGAAGGGGAUGAGAGAGACCUGUGUCAUACUGGGCCAGAUCCUUCACCACAGGACAUGAGCAGCACUGCCGUGGUGGAUCAAGUGGGCAUGCAAGACUCUGAAGAGGAUGAUCAGCGUAUGGAGGAGGGUUUAAAUUUACAUCAUUUAGAGUUUUUGACUUCAUCUGAAGUUAAUGGUCAGACAUUCCUGAAAAGAGCAGUUGUGUUGGUGUCUCAUGACGAAGUGAAGCACUACCUCAGGAGUCAAGCACAGCCCACUGCAGAGGAAUCCACAGCCUCUGAGAGUCAGCAGGACACAGCCCUUCACGUCAGUACUGGGGGGCUUUAUUCUGUGUGUGCCAUCUGUUAUUAUUUGUACGUUACUCGACUAGUAAUCAGUUAACAGUGACUAUUGAUGUGAUCUGCAGUCGGGAGAGCAUAGGGAUGGUCUUGAGGAACAGGGCUCUUCUGGUGGUACUCUAGAAGAGAGGGUCUCUCAAGAAGUGAAGGAAACCAGCACCACCUUCAUAUCUGCCCAACAAAGCACUGGCGAAAAAAGGAGGUGGUUUUCCAAGGCCAAACCCAGUCUGAGCCAUGCAGCACAGUCCAUCCGUAGACCUCCGAAUGUACAGAUGACAGAUUUUAGUGAAAGUGAGCUUCAGAUGUAUAUAAACCAUGAGCUAAGAAGACUGUCCAGUGGCCUGUGAAUGAGGACA